UACCGAUGUUGGUGAGAAACUAGUGUGUUGACCAGUAUAAAAAGACUGGGUCUCACUGUGUCACUCAGGCUGAACUGUAGUAUCUAUUCACAGGGGCGAUCCCACUACUGAGCAGUACGGGGGAUUUGACCUGCUCCGUUCCCGACCUGGGCCGGUUCACCCCUCCUUAGGAGACCUGGUGCUCCAAGACUCCCCCAGGAACACCAUAUCUAUACUGAACUUAGUGUGGACCCCCGUUCAACAUAGUCCACUGCAGCUCAGAGCUCCUGAGCUCAAGCAAUCCUCCAGCCUCAGCCUCCAGGUAGCUUGGAUUACAGGUGAGAGCCACCUCAUCCGGCGACAAGAAGCUGCUUUAUCCAUCACUUGUCCAGCACCGCCUCCUUCUGGAUGACAGCAGGGGCGAUCCCACUACUGAGCAGUACGGGGGAUUUGACCUGCUCCGUUCCCGACCUGGGCCGGUUCACCCCUCCUUAGGAGACCUGGUGCUCCAAGACUCCCCCAGGAACACCAUAUCUAUACUGAACUUAGUGUGGACCCCCGUUCAACAUAGUCCACUGCAGCUCAGAGCUCCUGAGCUCAAGCAAUCCUCCAGCCUCAGCCUCCAGGUAGCUUGGAUUACAGGUGAGAGCCACCUCAUCCGGCGACAAGAAGCUGCUUUAUCCAUCACUUGUCCAGCACCGCCUCCUUCUGGAUGACAGCAGGUACCACACCCUUGUGUUUAGAAUCAUAUUUGGGCUGGAGAAAAGCUACAACGAGUCCUGAACUUUAACUAACUUAUAUUAAUGUGUGACAAAUGAAUGAUAACAUAUCUGCUUGCUGGUUAUUUUACUGAGACGAUUUUAUCAGUUGAAUAUUCCAGAAGGUGUGAAGUUUUUAAGUUGCAUAAGGUUGAUGUAGUGUCCGCUGCUCUCCAGAAGGAGGCGGUGUUGAGCACAAAUCUCAGCUGCUUUUUGGAGGUUUUUGAUGAAACAAUAACUGGAAGGAGUGUUGAAGCAGCUGUGUGAUGCUAAAAUACCGAUGUUGGUGAGAAACUAGUGUGUUGACCAGUAUAAAAAGACUGGGUCUCACUGUGUCACUCAGGCUGAACUGUAGUAUCUAUUCACAGGGGCGUUCCCACUACUGAGCAGUACGGGGGAUUUGACCUGCUCCGUUCCCGACCUGGGCCGGUUCACCCCUCCUUAGGAGACCUGGUGCUCCAAGACUCCCCCAGGAACACCAUAUCUAUACUGAACUUAGUGUGGACCCCCGUUCAACAUAGUCCACUGCAGCUCAGAGCUCCUGAGCUCAAGCAAUCCUCCAGCCUCAGCCUCCAUGUAGCUUGGAUUACAGGUGAGAGCCACCUCACCCGGCGACAAGAAGCUGCUAUAUCCAUCACUUGUCCAGCACCGCCUCCUUCUGGAUGACAGCAGGGGCGAUCCCACUACUGAGCAGUACGGGGGAUUUGACCUGCUCCGUUCCCGACCUGGGCCGGUUCACCCCUCCUUAGGAGACCUGGUGCUCCAAGACUCCCCCAGGAACACCAUAUCUAUACUGAACUUAGUGUGGACCCCCGUUCGACAUAGUCCACUGCAGCUCAGAGCUCCUGAGCUCAAGCAAUCCUCCAGCCUCAGCCUCCAUGUAGCUUGGAUUACAGG